AGCUAGCAUGGUGUAGUGGUUUAAGCAUUGGACUACAAAUCUGGAGGCCAGGGUUCAAAUCCCCACCUGGCCA